UACUGGUCUAACAAGUAACUUUUUUUUUUUUUUAAAGAGGACUGCACAUAAAUGUACUUGCAGUUGCUUUGCACUCCAAAUUAUUAACAGCAGUACAGCAUGAAGAGUCAAGGCAAAUAAAGGUGCCAAGAGCAGAUACACUCCAUUUGAAUUGACUGGAAGUGAACUUUGGGUGCAGAGUGCUAUCCUCUCACUGUUUUUUCUUUAUGGUUAGCAAAAGUUGCAAAACAGUAGAAGCCAAGUUACAGAAGACAGAUUUUAUCUGUAGCAAGUUUCAUCCUGCCCAAAUUGUGUCAUAAAUGUUACAGAAACAUCAUAUAGAAUAUAGACAAAACCCCAACUCACGUGAGCACGUGUUCUACCUUCUGGCAGCUAUGUUUUGGAUACUUCUGAAGUCCUUUCUCUCCUCUUAUCAAAGUUGAAUAAACCCCAUAAACCUUUGAGUAUAAUCUUACCUAGUUUCAGUGCAGCCUCUUUAACCUACCUGGAGCACCUGUGUGAAAUCAGGAGAGGAAAUUUAACUAUACUUGCUGGAGAUUGUUGUCAUUCCUCAAUGGAAAUAAGAACAAAAAGUCUUUUAAAAGAAGUUGUAAUUCACGUUCAGGUCCAGUGACUGCCUGGAUUGACAGAAAUUCUGAGUAGGAUAAAGCAUUUGAAGACCUGAUACUUGUGUCGCUGAUAUACUAAACUCAUUAGUGACUUCCUCUAUUCUGGUAGUGGUCUCUUUCCUUAAAUCUUUGAGGGACAGAUGUUUUUUCACAAGCUACAAGCCUUUAUCAAGAUCUAGGAUAUUUCAGCAGAGAGCGCAUCCUAGUUAGUAUGGGAAAAUUUGAUCAAUUAUUGCUCCUUUAUUCAAACUGCUUUUCCAUUGAUUUCCAUGUUUUAGGCAGAAAGAAUCUAAAAGAAGUCUUUAGGCUUCUUUUAAAAAUGCAGUCAUUAUGGUACUUAAAUUUUCAGAUAUGAGUUAAUAUCAAGAAUAUUGCAUGUUUAUUAUAUCAGUGAAAUGUAAUCUUCCCCCCACCCCCCAAUCCCUGUAAAUAUUACUAAGAAGCAUUUGUUGUUUUCUUUGGGGUUUAGCCAGCUUUUAUUAAGAAAAAAAAACUUUCAGUAUUUAUACCCUAGGCCAGCAAGAUCUCAGAAUCGGUGAACCUGAGGACUCAAAAGAAGCUUUUGCAUGUACAAUUUUACUGCGAAAUAUCAAAAAAACCUGCUGUCAGAAGUCUCACUCCUCAGUCUUGCUAGAGCUGAUCUUAAAAGUAUCUCCAUAAACAGCAAGUGUCUGCUAAGGGGUGUGUGCAAGUUUUCGAAAGCAACUAUGAGACUGAGGAGUUAGUUAGAAAACCCAACAGCAGGGCUUCAGAAGAUUGUACAGGCAGCAGCCUCUCUGAAGUUUUAAGAAAGCCUGUACAUUUAAUAUUUUAAUGAGUUUAUAUCUGUUAUCUUGGUGCUUGAUUGUAUUUCCAGUGCCAUCCAGCUUAUUUUGUUGAUCUUCUGAUAAGAUGUUCUCAAUAACAUUAUAGCCUUAUUACUAAGGACUUAGUCUUCUUUUCAUCAACAUCAUUUUUGUAGCUAGAGAAUCACUGUUCUGCCAUGGAGAAAAAGGCUUCUGAUGUCACAGAUUGGCAUGACCUUUUUAAAAAAAACUUUUAUAUUGAUUUUUAACUACUUCAUGUCAUGUUUUCAACAUGUAUAUUCAUAUGUGUGAUGUCCGAGUCUCACUUUUAAAAUUGUAUAAUUAAAGUCAGAAAGGAUGUGUGGAGGUGAUCUCAUUCACAGUCCUGUACAAGGCAUGCUUAAUCUCAGAGAUGCAGGGCCUUCUCCUGUUCGAUUUUUGAAAAUCUCCACAGAUGAAGUCUGCGCAGCCCCUCCAG